rnacentral:rRNA from 1 species
ACACGACUACAUUAGAUACCCGUGUAGUCCCAGCCCUAAACGAUGCGCGUUAGGUGUAUCGGUGACCACGAGUCACCGAGGUGCCGAAGGGAAACCGUGAAACGUGCCGCCUGGGAAGUACGGUCGCAAGGCUGAAACUUAAAGGAAUUGGCGGGGAGCACCACAACGCGUGGAGCCUGCGGUUUAAUUGGAUUCAACGCCGGACAUCUCACCAGGGGCGACAGCAGAAUAAUGGCCAGGUUGAUGACCUUGCUUGACAAGCUG